rnacentral:tRNA from 1 species
AGACAAGUAGCUCAGUUUGGAAGAGUAUCUGCCUAUCACGCAGAGGGUCGUGGGUUCGAUGCCCGCCUUGUCUU